ensembl:snRNA U6 U6 spliceosomal RNA
GUGCUCACUUCAACAGCACAUAUACUAAAAUUGGAACAAUACAGAGAAAAUUAGCACAGCCUCUGUACAAGGAUGACAUGCAAAUUUGUGAAGUAUUCCAUAUCUUU